GCCGGGGCUUUGGGUGAGGG
rnacentral:miRNA from 1 species